GCAGAACCAGACCGACUCAGAUUCAGACUCUGAGGGAGGAGCCGCUGGUGGAGAAGCAGACAUGGACUUCCUGCGCAACUUAUUCUCCCAGACGCUCAGCCUGGGCAGCCAGAAGGAGCGUCUGCUGGACGAGCUGACCUUGGAAGGGGUGGCCCGGUACAUGCAGAGCGAACGCUGUCGCAGAGUCAUCUGUUUGGUGGGAGCUGGAAUCUCCACAUCCGCAGGCAUCCCCGACUUUCGCUCUCCAUCCACCGGCCUCUAUGACAACCUAGAGAAGUACCAUCUUCCCUACCCAGAGGCCAUCUUUGAGAUCAGCUAUUUCAAGGUUUGUGCUCCCCCAGGAAGGGGCGUCUGUGAGGGGUGGGGAUGGGGUCACCUGGCUCCAACCCUCAUGCUACCUGGGGCAUCUGGCCCUCUGGCUGUCUCUCCUACAGAAACAUCCGGAACCCUUCUUCGCCCUCGCCAAGGAACUCUAUCCUGGGCAGUUCAAGUUUCCUCAUCUGUGAUCUGGGGAUAGCGGUGGUCUCUCCCCGACGCGGCUGCUGUGAUGGUUCCCUGGGGGUAAAACAGUCGCAGUGCCUAGA
rnacentral:sRNA from 1 species